GGAAUAUUGGGCAAUGGGCGCAAGCCUGACCCAGCGACGCCGCGUGAGGGAUGAAGGUCUUCGGAUUGUAAACCUCUUUCAGUAGGGAAGAAGCGAAAGUGACGGUACCUAAAGAAGAAGCACCGGCUAACUAUGUGCCAGCAGCCGCGGUAAUACAUAGGGUGCAAGCGUUGUCCGGAAUUAUUGGGCGUAAAGAGCUCGUAGGUCGUUUGUCGCGUCGAUUGUGAAAAUCUGAGGCUCAACCUCAGACCUGCAGUCGAUACGGGCAAACUAGAGUGUGGUAGGGGAGACUGGAAUUCCUGGUGUAGCGGUGGAAUGCGCAGAUAUCAGGAGGAACACCAAUGGCGAAGGCAGGUCUCUGGGCCAUAACUGACACUGAGGAGCGAAAGUGCGGGGAGCGAACAGGAUUAGAUACCCUGGUAGUCCGCACCGUAAACGGUGGGCACUAGUUGUGGGAACCUUCCACGGUUUCCGCGACGCAGCAAACGCAUUAAGUGCCCCGCCUGGGGAGUACGAUCGCAAGAUUAAAACUCAAAGGAAUUGACGG
rnacentral:rRNA from 1 species